ACCUCCGAGUUUGGGACAACUCCUCGAAAGAGGGGCUAAUACCGGAUACGGUGCUCCGUCGCAUGGCGGAGACAUUAAAGGUGGGGAUUCUUCGGAAUCUGCCGCUUGGAGAUGGACCCGCGUACCAUCAGCUUGUUGGUGGGGUAACGGCCUACCAAGGCUUACGGUUAGCUGUCUGAGAGGAUGGUCAGCCACACUGGGACUGAGACACUGCCCAGACUCCUACGGGAGGCUGCAGUCGAGGAUCAUUCGCAAUGCGCGAAAGCGUGACGAUGCGACGCUGCGUGGAGGAUGAAGGCCUUCGGGUUGUAAACUCCUGUCAUGAGGGAAAAGACAGCGGGCCGUUAAUACCGGUUCGCCUCGAUGGUACCUCAAGAAGAAGCCACGGCUAACUCUGUGCCAGCAGCCGCGGUAAUACAGAGGUGGCGAGCGUUGUUCGGAUUUACUGGGCGUAAAGCGUGCGUAGGUGGUUUUGUAUGUCGGGUGUGAAAUCCCAUGGCUCAACUGUGGAACUGCAUCCGAAACUGCGGGACUUGAGUGCAGGAGGGGAGAGCGGAAUUCUUGGUGUAGCGGUGAAAUGCGUUGAUAUCAAGAAGAACACCGGUGGCGAAGGCGGCUCUCUGGAAUGUUACUGACACUGAGGCACGAAAGCUGGGGGAGCAAACAGGAUUAGAUACCCUGGUAGUCCCAGCUGUAAACGGUGCACACUUGGUGUGGGGGGUAUUGACCCCCCCCGUGCCGGAGCUAACGCGUUAAGUGUGCCGCCUGGGGAGUACGGCCGCAAGGCUAAAACUCAAAGAAAUUGACGGGGGCCCGCACAAGCGGAGGAGCAUGUGGCUUAAUUCGAUGCAACGCGAAGAACCUUACCUGGGCUUGACAUGGCGACCCUUCGGGGGUGGGUGUGAAAGCUCCCUUUACACACACAGGUGCUGCAUGGCUGUCGUCAGUUCGUGCCGUGAGGUGUUGGGUUAAGUCCCGCAACGAACGCAACCCUUGUGUUUAGUUGCCACCGCAGGUGAUGAGCCUGCGAGCACUCUAGACAGACUGCCCGUACAAGCGGGAGGAAGGUGGGGAUGACGUCAAGUCAGUAUGGCCCUUACGCCCAGGGCUGCACACGUGCUACAAUGGUCGGUACAAUGGGAAGCAAGACCGCGAGGUGGAGCAAAUCCUGAAAACCGGCGUAAGUUCGGAUUGGAGUCUGAAACUCGACUCCAUGAAGUCGGAUUCGCUAGUAACGGCGUAUCAGCUACGACGCCGUGAAUACGUUCCCGGGCCUUGUACACACCGCCCGUCACAUCAUGAAAGCCGUCUGCACCCGAAGUCGCUGAACCAACCCGCAAGGGAGGUAAGUGCCGAAGGUGUGGGUGGUGAAUGGGAUGAAGUCGUAACAAGGUA
rnacentral:rRNA from 1 species